rnacentral:rRNA from 1 species
ACGGCUCAGUAACACGUGGACAACCUACCCUGAGGUCGGGGACAAACCCGGGAAACUGGGUAUAAUACCCGAUAGAUCUAGAUCGCUGGAAUGCUUUUAGGUCUAAAGUUCCGACGCCUCAGGAUGGGUCUGCGGCCUAUCAGGGUAGUAGUGGGUGUAAAGUACCUACUAGCCUACGACGGGUACGGGUUGUGAGAGCAAGAGCCCGGAGAUGGAUUCUGAGACACGAAUCCAGGCCCUACGGGGUGCAGCAGGCGCGAAACCUUUACAAUGCUGGCAACAGCGAUAAGGGGACCUCGAGUGCUACGAUACAAUCGUGGCUGUCUAGUUGCCUAAAAAGCAAUUGAUAGCAAGGGCCGGGCAAGACCGUUGCCAGCCGCCGCGGUAACACCGGCGGCUCGAGUGGUAACCGCUAUUAUUGGGUCUAAAGGGUCUGUAGCCGGCUUAGUUAGUCUCUUGAGAAAUCUGGCCGCUCAACGGUCAGGCGUUCAGGGGAUACUGCUAAAGCUCGAGACCGGGAGAGGUGAGAGGUACUUCAGGGGUAGGGGUGAAAUCUUGUAAUCCUUGAAGGACCACCAGUGGCGAAGUCGUCUCACCAGAACGGAUCUGACGGCAAGGGACGAAAGCUAGGGGCACGAACCGGAUUAGAUACCCGGGUAGUCCUAGCCGUAAACGAUACUCGCUAGGUGUCGGCCACGGUGCGACCGUGGUCGGUGCCGUAGGGAAGCCGUGAAGCGAGCCACCUGGGAAGUACGGCCGCAAGGCUGAAACUUAAAGGAAUUGGCGGGGGAGCAC